rnacentral:rRNA from 1 species
UGGGGAAUAUUGCACAAUGGGCGCAAGCCUGAUGCAGCCAUGCCGCGUGUAUGAAGAAGGCCUUCGGGUUGUAAAGUACUUUCAGCGGGGAGGAAGGCGAUGCGGUUAAUAACCGCGUCGAUUGACGUUACCCGCAGAAGAAGCACCGGCUAACUCCGUGCCAGCAGCCGCGGUAAUACGGAGGGUGCAAGCGUUAAUCGGAAUUACUGGGCGUAAAGCGCACGCAGGCGGUCUGUCAAGUCGGAUGUGAAAUCCCCGGGCUCAACCUGGGAACUGCAUCCGAAACUGGCAGGCUUGAGUCUCGUAGAGGGGGGUAGAAUUCCAGGUGUAGCGGUGAAAUGCGUAGCGAUCUGGAGGAAUACCGGUGGCGAAGGCGGCCCCCUGGACGAAGACUGACGCUCAGGUGCGAAAGCGUGGGGAGCAAACA